UACGUAGGUGGCAAGCGUUGUCCGGAUUUACUGGGCGUAAAGAGCGCGCAGGCGGUCGUUCAAGUCGCGUGUGAAAGCCCCCGGCUCAACUGGGGAGGGUCACGCGAUACUGAUCGACUGGAAGGCAGGAGAGGGUAGUGGAAUUCCCGGUGUAGUGGUGAAAUGCGUAGAGAUCGGGAGGAACACCAGUAGCGAAGGCGGCCGGCUGGGCCGACCCUGACGCUGAGGCGCGAAGGCGUGGGGAGCGAACGGG
rnacentral:rRNA from 1 species